UGUAGUUGUUGGUGGCUGAGUUGUAGUUGUUUCAGUUGUAGUUGUUGUUGUAGUGGUUUCUGUUGUAGCUGGGUUGUAGUUGUUUCAGUUGUAGUUGAAUGGGUAGCUGUAGUUGUUGGUGGCUGGGUUGUAGUUGUUUCAGUUGUAGUUAUUGUCGUAGUUGUUUCAGUUGUAGUUGUUUCAGUUGUAGUUGAAUGUGGAGCUGUAGUUGUUGGUGGCUCAGUCGUAGUGGUUUCAGUUGUAGUUGAAUCCGUAGCUGUAGUUGUUGGUGGCUGGGUCGUAGUUGUUUCAGUUGUAGUUGUU